GGAGAGGUGGUCGAGUGGUCGAAGGCACUCGCUUGGAAAGCGAGCAGACGCGCAAGCGUCUCGAGGGUUCGAAUCCCUCCCUCUCCG
rnacentral:tRNA from 1 species